CCCGAGGACGCUCUGGAGGGUGGAGAGUCGGAGUUGUGGUCUGGGCUCCGAGUCCCUCUGUCUGCCUCGUCCCUCUGCGGUCGGCUGGUCGUCGUGCUCUCUGGCUCGGAUCUGGCGGUGCUGCUGCUCGGUUCGGUGUCCGGUCUUGGUUGCUGUAGAGGUUCCAGUGAAGCACCUUUGAACCCCAGAGCCUCACUCCCGCCACCGGCAGCAGCCACGCCCCACGCCGCGUUUAACACAUCUGGCUGAUCCUUGGAGGCGUUUCCAGAUGUGAUGAGGUCAAUGAACUGAUGCAUCUCCAUCCAGGAACACUGAGCAUGCUGCGGGAAGAACAAGGCAGAGUUGGCACAGUCUGAGUGCGGUUUGUGUUUGUUUGUUUUUGGUGUUAAGAAUAAGCAAAGGUGAAAAGGCUUAAACACACACUGGUUUCUCUUCAAGUCCACUCAUUUAAAUGUCGUCUACUUACAAUGUCGCUACUCUUGUCUUUGUCCAUGGGUGGAAACAAACCGCUGCUGUCGCCGGAUCGACGGGUUAGCUUUAUACGAGCGGUUUCAAUAUGGCAGACACUGCGCUUCAAAACAAUGAGUAAUACUGCACAUGUUGUUUCUGAGCUGAUAACAGCUCCACUGUGUCCCGUUCAGCCAGAUCAUAACCUAGCACACAUUCUAUUUCCGGGAUCUCCGAUCAUGUGACUAGUCUUCCUUUUUUUUUUUUAGCCCUUCUUUUCACUUAAAAACAUAUAUUCACUUAAAAAAUAUCAAAACGUGUCAGCGAAACGUAAAAAGAAGUAUAAAAUAUUUUUAAAAAUAACAUUAAGUAUUGCAGGCACAUAAGCAGAUAAAGCCCUGUUGUUAAUAGCAGUUCUAAAUCUAAAUAAAAUAUUAUUUUAAGAAAACAGAAGAGCUGCAUUUAUGAAUAUGGUAAUUGGGAAAUACUGACAUUUAGGCUGCAAGGAUGUUCGUUAUUAGAUUUGUGAAAGUUAUAGAAUCCCAAUAUCACAUUGUGGUAAUGGCUGCAAUUACUUUAUUAUCUAAUAAAUCAGCAGACUUUUACUGUAAAAUUUGUUGUGUGAGAACAAACCUAAAAGUGUAACAGUUUCAGAGUAUUUUAUUCCUUGCUAACGUUUUGUUUUUUUCCAAUUAAGAGCAACCAAUUUCCUAAAUGUAAUCUUAUUUGUUUCAUUAGCACUAUAACUACACUCCCUAAUUAAAUGCCCUUAAAAGCACUAUAGCCUACAGUAAAUCCCCAUGGGAACAGUCUGCUCUGGGCUUCCUGAUGUGUAAACUCUUGUGUAAUGAUAAUCUGCUAAAUAUGAUGGGAUAUCCCAGUGAAAGCAGGACAUUUUACUACAAAAGUUUUAUUUUAUCGUCUAGUCCAGUGGUUCCCAACCUUUUUCCUUAAGGGAAUUUUCUUUAUCAUUAAGUAAACUUAAAUCAAGAAGGCCUUGCAACCCCCCGUGAGGGUCCAACUAUCUCUCUCUAGUUUGACCAAAAAGGAUCAAAGUGAAGAGUGAACCUUCCUGUUCAAUAUGUGGAUACUGGAUCUGUGGAUGUGUCUGUUUCUAAGUUCUCCUGUUAAAGAAGGUCUCUACGCAUACGUGGUGCAGUGUCAUACUUUUUAAAUACAGUAUUUCUACACUGUCUCUCUCAUGCACACACACAAACACACGAGGCGAGAUAUGAACAGUUCUUGUAUCAAGGACUAAUGUUUAUUUGCCUUUAGAAAAAAACAUCAAAAGAUACCUGCAGGCUAUAAAGAUUCAGCAAUGUAGAGAACAAGGUGACACAAUGUCCUUACUGAUCAGUACCAUUAUUUGCAUUAAAUAUUCAACUUAGUAGUAAAAAGGUCAGAUGCCUGUUUACAAAAUGCACAUUAUUAUUUCAAGUUUUCAGCUGAACACUAAGAAAUCCAGUGUUUUCAUUCCAAAUACACAUUAAUAAAACUAAGGAUUCAAUUUCUCAACACAAAAACUAGUGCAUAAAAAAGAUAGAAAUCUGAAUAUUUUUAAUAAUAAUAUUGCAUAGGCUUCAUGACUAUUACAGUACCACUCUGCUCUGGUGCCCCAGCCAAAAGCUUUACCCAAAAUGCAAAUAGGACAAAUGCCAUAAUACGCAAGAGCUUGGAAUGUUGUUUAAAUUACAGAAGAAACAAAACAAAAAUCCUCCCGACUCUAAAACAAAAGUCACACAGUCGACUGCUUGAAAGACACCGAGUUUAGAAAAAGUAGAAAAACUGCUUUGCCAUAUAAGGGUAUGAUGGUACAUAUACUGAUUAGACAGAAAUAUAUACAAUACUCAACAGUAUAUAGUUCUGGCUGUAGAAUAACACCUCCAUAUUUGGUUUAUGUGGCUACAGGUACAGCAGAACAGUGGCUGUGUCCUCCAGUAGGGGAAUGUGACCACAGAUGGAGUAUUAAUCUAUUUUUAUUUUGCCCUCAAAUAAAAUGUUUGGUUUGUCUACAUCAGCAUUAGUAGCGCUUGAAACAUCGACCUCCAUCUUAAUUUCUCUCUGUCAGCUGACACACA